rnacentral:rRNA from 1 species
AUGGUUCUUUCUAUAAUGUUCGAACCACCCCCUUGCGUUCUCUCCCAAGGAGUGGCUAGCGCGCAACACUGCCAUGCUCCUCUGCCGCGCAGUCAUCACAGGAUGGGACGGCGACCUUGCCUUCCUAUUCAAUGUUCUGUCGGUAGCGACGUUCUCGUCCAGGAGCAUCCGGAUAGGGAGGUGCUCCACGCCAUGCGUGUAGGCAUGUACUGCAACGCCGACCACAUGGCUAAGAUGGCCGUUGCCGUCACCGAGUUCCGUGCUCUCUAUUCUUCAUUAAAUCCAGGUUUGUGGACACUACUUACCAGUUGGGAGAGAAACAUAAUUGAUGCGUAUGGAAUUGCAGAAUUGACACCCAUGACCUAUCAGUUCAACUAG